AGCUAUAUAUUAAAGAGAUUUAUUUAUAUAAAUAGGUUUGCUAGCUGAUUGUGUAUAUACGCAGGCCAAUGCUUCUAAUUUCAUAGCAAGCUCGCUUGCUAUGAAAUAGGCAACCAGUAAUAUAAGCAAGUGUGUGCUAUUUAUAGCGCUAGCCUACAAACCUAUAAUUAUAUUAACUCUAAGAGAAAUUUAAUAAUAAACGAAGUGAAUUGAAAUAUCUUAGUAACUUUAGGAAAAGAAAUCAAAAGAGAUUCUAUGAUUAGCGUGAGCUAAAAUAGACUAGCCUAAAAAGUCAAAUGGUGGAUAAACUGUUUAAAUUAAAUGGGGAACCUUCCUCAAAGGCUAAAUAUAAUAUAUAAGCGAUAGUGGAAAGUACCGUGAGGGAACCAAAACAAAAACAGUGAUUUUAUAAGCAGUUCGGAAAAAUAAAAAAAAAGUUAGAACGUACCUUUUGCAUAAUGGGUCACCAAGUUAACAUUAGAUGCGAGUAGGAGGGAGCAGCCCCGUGCAUACGUAGUUAAACCGAGCGUUAAAAUAACGGUAAGUAUCUAAAGUUAGACCCGAAGCCUGGUGAUUUUACCAUAAUCAGGAUUAUAAAAGUCCGAACGGAAUAUUGUAGCAUAAAUAUCCGAAGAAUUAUGGUAGGUGUAGUGAAAGACAAUACUGACCAGGAUAGCUGGUUUUCUGCGAAACCUAUAACAGUAGGCAAUUUAAGUAUAAUAUCUUAGCAGGUACAGAAUUUAAUCUCAGACAAGACAUAAGGCUUAGCUUGUUAGCAAGUAAAGCUCAUGUUUUAUUUUGUACAAAUUGGGGGAUCAUGAAGAUUUUAUCAGUGAGUAUGUAGACUCGGAAUGGCAAAGAUAUAUCUUAAAUCAUCAGACAUAGAAUGAUAAGGUUGUAUGUCAAAAGGGAAACAGCCCAGAACAAGAGUUAAGGUUCCUAAAUUAUUAGUUGAGUGAAAUUAAGAAGGUUUUUAUUAAAGUCGACAAGGAGAUAGGCUUAGAAGCAGCCAUAAUUUUAUGACCUCGUAACAGAGCGCUUGUUAAGUUUUAAAAGCAUCGAAAAUUUAUCGGAUCUAAACAAUAUACCGAAACCUUGUCCAUAUUAUUUUAUAAUUAAAGUUUAAUUAUAAUUAAAUGGGGUAGCAGAACGUUGAGCUAAAUUAAGAUUUUUAUUUUUUAAAUGAAAUUAUAAUAAUUUAACUCAAGUGAUAAUGGUGACAUGAGUAACUAAAAGAAAAAAUAAAAUUUUUCCGCCUAAAGCUUAUGGAUGUAAUUAAGUAACGGCCUCUAAGUUUAUAUUAUCUAAAGAUUUAAACGAUGAGAUAAUCUUUUGUACUAAGGACGACAUUUUAAGUGAAAAAUGUACUGGAAAAAUAGUACUAAAUUAAUAGCUAUAGCUAAUUAGGGCUAUAAAAAAAAAAUAUAUUUUUUUUUAUAUAGCUCGCUAUGGCUAUAAAUGAAAAGUAACCGUACCUAGAAUCUGAAACAAGUAAGCUAGUAGAGAAUACGAAGGCGUAAAUGAGCUAACAAUCAUAAAGGAACUCGGCAAAUUGACUACCGUAACUUCGGGAUAAGGAGAGCUCAUUAUUCUUGAUUAAUAUCAGGUAAAGAGGAAGAAGCAUGAAAUAGUGUUGUACGACUGUUUAAUUAAAACACAGCACUUUGCUGAAAGAUUAAAAAUCUAAGUAUAGAGUGUGAUGUCUGCCCGGUGCCGGCUGGUUAACAGAUAUAAUUAAAUAUACUAAUAUUUGAUGUAGACGGAAACCCCGGUUAAAGGCGGCCUUAACGUGAGGGUCCUAAGGUAGCGAAAUGCCUUGGCCGUUAAAUGCGGUCUUGCAUGAAUGAUGUAACGAUACAACAGCUGUCUCUAUGAUUGACUCAGUGAAAUUGGAAUAGCUGUGCAGAUACAGUUUACCUCUAGUUAGACGAGAAGACCCUAUGCAGCUUUACUGUCACUAAUUAUAGAGUAUGAUAAACAAUUUUCAGAUUAUAAGGUAAUUGACGGCUAGCUUGUUCAGCAAGCUAGCUCUAUGACAAUGAGAAUCCUUUAUUUUUUUUUCAUAUGAAUGAAUUGGUUUAGGAUUAUGAGUAGGUAGCUGCUUCUGCUACUUGACGCAAGCAUUGCUUACGUCAAAUGUCUGAAGUAUGCAUUCCAGCUCAUGCAUAGUAAAUCAACCUAAUUCAGCUUAUUUUCCUUUCUGCCAUAAGCGCAUAAUGAUAGAUUUAACUUAAAUUUUGAUUUAUGCCGAGCCCCUACGGGGCUACUGCAGAAAUAGAUAAGUACCCUUGGCUAAGGAACUAUCGCUAGGGGACAGUUUAUGUGGGGCACAGACCCUGUAAAGAGUAAACAGGAGUGUCUAAUAAUUUAUAAUUAUUUUGUUUGCGAUUUAAGAUAGUGAAACUAUUUUUAAUCAUAUAAAAUUAUUUAUAUGUACAUUCGUUGUAUAUAUAUUUAAAAAAAGGUAGGAUUUUCACUAUAUAGAAAUUAGAGAUAAUAAAAAUAUUAAGAAUAUACCUUUCAGGUAGCACUAAUAUUUUUUAGCUAUUAAGACAGGCGGCAGCUAUCAAGAAGCUAGCCUCUAAUAGUUAUGUAUUAAUUAUCUAAAAAGCUCAACGGCUAAAUCUUGCCUUACUGUUUGAUUAUCAACAAAUCUUACAGUUGCGUAAGCAGGGCAUAGGAUCACAAGAUGCAACAAGGAAAGAUCUUGGAUUAUUGGAAAAGCUACGCUAGGGAUAACAGGCUAAUUUGCGCAAGAGUGUACAAAAUGAGUGCGCGGUUUGGCACCUCGAUGUCGGCUUAACUUAUCCUCAUGGAUGCAGGAACUAUGUAGGGUGCGACUGUUCGUCGAUUAAAAAGUUACAUGAGCUGGGUUAAAUACGUCGUGAGACAGUAUGGUUUCUAUCUUCUAGGGGGAAUUAGAAUAUAAUAAGAACUAACUUUUGUACGAAAGGAACAAGAAGAAUUUAAUUUGUAAAAGGGUUAAAUAAUAGUUACUAACCUAUGGUUUACCUGUUGUCUAUGUGCCCAAAUAUUAAAAUAUAUAUGGAGGAAGCUCCUUAAGAGCUUCCCCCGCAAAUUAUAUAUAUCUGUAUAGCUAGCCUGCGGACUCCGGUUAUGCCUGAGUUUGGCAAGCUAAAGCUAUACAUAGGGAUGUUUCUUUCACUAAGAUAAAUAUAUAGCAUAGGCACGGCAGGAAAGCUAAGUUGGUUAAGGAUAAGUGCUGAAAGCAUAUAGGCACGAAGCUUAUCUUAAGAUAUUUCUUAAAUAUACGUAAAAUAUUAUUACGAAGGAUGUAAUAUAGGCUUUAUCCGUACGAAUCAGGAGAUUUUUAAGAAUAAAGUACUAAUUUUAUAAAUAACUAUUUAU
rnacentral:rRNA from 1 species